rnacentral:rRNA from 1 species
UGGGGAAUAUUGGACAAUGGGCGAAAGCCUGAUCCAGCCAUGCCGCGUGAGUGAUGAAGGCCUUAGGGUUGUAAAGCUCUUUUGGCGGGGAAGAUAAUGACGGUACCCGCAGAAUAAGCACCGGCUAACUUCGUGCCAGCAGCCGCGGUAAUACGAAGGGUGCUAGCGUUGUUCGGAAUUACUGGGCGUAAAGCGCGCGUAGGCGGCCGUACUCGUCGGGGGUGAAAUCCCAGGGCUUAACCCUGGAACUGCCUUCGAAACUGUGCGGCUGGAGUGUGUGAGGGGAUGGCGGAAUUCCUAAUGUAGAGGUGAAAUUCGUAGAUAUUAGGAGGAACACCGGUGGCGAAGGCGGCCAUCUGGCACACAACUGACGCUGAGGCGCGAAAGCGUGGGGAUCAAACAGGAUUAGAUACCCCUGUAGUCC